rnacentral:rRNA from 1 species
GACAGGGGUCUCAAGCGUUAAUCGGAAUCACUGGGCUUAAAGGGUGCGUAGGCGGGCCUGUAAGUGUCCUGUGAAAUCCCCCGGCUCAACCGGGGAACUGCGGGGCAUACUGCGGGUCUUGAGGAAGGUAGGCGCCGAGGGAACAGUAGGUGGAGCGGUGAAAUGCGUAGAUAUCUACUGGAACGCCGAUGGUGAAGACGCUCGGCUGGGCCUUUCCUGACGCUGGAGGCACGAAAGCGUGGGGAGCAAACAGG